CACCCCUCCAGCCCUUUGUUCUAGGGAGAAAAAGACAGCCUAAUCUUUUGUAUCUAUUUUUAGUAUUCCUGUUGUUAUUAUCUUUGUUUUCCUUUCAUUUUUGUGAUAAUAAGAGUUGUUUGAUCGUAUGUUUUGUCAUUUGAGGACCAGAUUUCAAGACUAUUACUAGCAGAUUGCAUUUUGACUGAUGUUGCUUUUAUUGGAAAUGGCUCACAGUGUCCUCAUUUAGGGAUGAAACAAUUUGGAUAACUUGUUCAUCCCAAAAUCUAUGUUUGGUAGGUUCCAAAGCUUAGUUUGAAGAUGGCAUUUAGAGAUGGACUGCUGAAGCACAUUGCACAAGAAGUGACUAAAUUGGCUAAGGAUGGUUUGGAAAGGAGAGGCUAUAAGGAAACAGGAUUUCUAAAUGAAAUGACUGAGGUGGUUGGAACAGGUGUAACACCAGCAGAAAAGCUUCUAGAAUUGGUCGUAAUCUCAGAUUUUUGCCAGUUAUAUUUAGAUGAAGGAUAACAUGAUGAACCUCUUCGGUACAGAACUGCUCAUUAGGUCGAGUAGAUCAGUUGAAACCUUUCAUUAUGCAUCCCACCGCUCGGUCGAACUAAAGAAUGUAACUUGAUGAUGUUUUCUAUAUUGUUCUCGAGAAUCGAGUAAGCUGUUGUUUCUUCAAUAACUUAUGCUCGAUGUGUCGAGAUUUCUUCGUUCUGUUUCUUACCUUGGGAGGAUUCUCCAUCCCAAGCCCACCUAGCCAUGCGCUCCCCACAACGUUGUACAUUAUUGUAUCAGUAUCCUUGUUUCAUUAUUUUUAUGGGGGUAUUAUCUUUG